AAAAAUUGCAGAAAUGAGAGAGAGCCGUCGUUGAGAGAGAAAGAGAGAAAAGGAGAGGAAAUGUGAGGGAGCACCACCGGACCACCAUGGGUAUCCGAGCAAGCUGUGGUCUCUAGUGGUCAUGCGGCAUGGGGAAAUUAAAAACGGUCGGGGUUCCGUCGGUUUGAGACCGGGUCGCGCACGACCCGACUUAAAAAUUUGAUGAGAUUCUUCACUCGAUAACCAAAAUUUAUCUUUCGUUUUAAUUCUUCUAACCGUCUAAGACCUCUAGGCAUGUCUAGGUUUUGCAAAUCAUCAACAAACACGCCAAAAUGUAGAGCGCCCCUCAACCCAGUUCUGUUGGUAACAUUACCGAACCCGACUCUUCAGAAGCAUUUUCCUUUGCAUUUGUCUUCGAUUUAGCUUAAAAUCUUGGAUUUAAAACUUGUUCAUACAUCACAGAACACACACUAAGGUUUUAGAAAAACUAAAAUUGACAUUUCAUGCAAAACAAUUGCACGAAAAUCUCUGCUUCAUCACUGACUCGAGACACCUGCUUCCUUGUCAGGUUUCGAAGCAACUUUGGGGACCAAAAUGGAGCCCCAAAUUGAUCCGUUUUGCAAAGGAUUUGUAACUAUAUGUAAUAGUGAUUUCUAAGUUUCAUAUGCACGUUUUAAAAUGAAAAACUAACAUCAUUUGGGUUGAAUUUGAACUAGUUAAACAUAGGUUGGUAAUCAUGCUAAAAAAACCUAUUAAAACUGCAUUUUAUCAAAUUUCCUCACAUUUGCAUGCUGCUUGAUCGAUUAUCUUGCAUGUGUAUUCUCUGUUUAAGUUUGUGAUUGAUGAUUGAUGAUUGAUGAUUGGUGAUAGUUUGAUGAUUGUUUGAAUGUUCUAGAGAGAAAUUUUCGAUAAAUGCAUUAAGAGGUUUAUUUAAUGGUUUAAAUUGAAAAUCAAAAAAUGACAAAAAGGGUGCUUUAGUAAUGAUUGAAAUUGUAAAUCAUGAAAUUAAUUGUAGUUAUUUAGGAAAAAUAAAUAAUUUAACCAACAAUAAAAAAAUAUUUUAAACAUCAAGUAGUCAAAAUAUCAACAAUUUAAAUCAAAAUAAAAAAUUUAAAAAGUAUACUAAAACAAUAAUUUGAAUAAAUUAAUUGAAAAAUUUAUAGGUUUAAAGAAUUGGUUAAUUUUUGGGUACAUUAGAAAUAAAUUAAUUAUUAUGUUUGAAGAAUUAAGUUCUAGAUUAAAUAAAAUAAAGGACUUUAGAUUAGUUAAGCAACAAAUUAAAAUAGAAAGUUUACGUAACAAAAGAAUUUAAAACAAGCCUAAUAGGUAAGUUAAGCUAGGAAUUAUAAAAUUUUCAAGAUAAAAUUUAAACAAUAAAUUUAACAAAUAUAAACCAAUCAAGCCUACACCAAAAGCAAAACAAACCUAACUUAAAAAAAUUAGUAAAUUGAGAUGGAAUUUAGAUAAAGAAAAUGAAAGUAAGGGCAAAUUAGUUAAAGUAUUAUUGUUGAAAUUUAGGAAGUUAAUGAAAAUAAAUUAUCACAUAAGAUAUUUAAAUGGAAACUGUAAUACUCUGAAAAACCUUCGUGCUUAAUUCGUAAUGUAAACCUCAUUUAUUCGGACCCUAAAAUUAUUUAAACUCUUUAAUAUUUUGUAUUUUAUUUUAUUGAAUAAUUUUUUAAAUUAAUUAUUUUAUUUUAUCAUAAGAAAAUUAUAUUUUUACUCAUUAUUAAAAAGAUUUUAAGGAAAAAACGAAGAAAAAGACGAAAAUCCUGUGGGAAUAUCCAGGGGAAGGAUCCCACCCACACGGGCUGCACGCGUCACGCUAAUGUGCCCGCACGCAGCCAGCACAGGACGUGCGCACUGUGUGCACAUCCCAUCCAUGUGGGGUACGGGGCGCAGUCUGCGUGCGUGUCCCAUCGUGUGUAGACGUGCACAACUUUGUGCUCCCUGUGCCCACGUUGAUCUCUCAAUAGGCCUACGCACAAUAGGCUUGCGCACAGUAGGCCUGUAGGCCUAUGUGUGCGGCAGGCUGGGCAACGUGCACUGCCUCCGGCAAUGCACCUCGCCCCUCUAAGCACCGUGUGCCGCCGGUUGGGUGGCAUGUACCAUAAGUUGGGCAGUGCGAUGCCGCCGGCUUGGGCGUCCUACCAUCGUCACUUUGGCGAUAUGUUGUCGUUGUUUGGGUGGGGUGCCUCUAGUUUUUGUGCCGCCAUCACAUUGCAUUGUCCAUAUGUUGGUCACAUCUGUCGAUCGUCAUAUCCCACCUUCUCAUUUACUUUCUCUCUCUUUACUAGAUUUUUCCACUUGGCGCAAAUCUAAUAGUCCACAUUUUCUAUUAAUUGGAACCCUCCCUUCAUUAUUUUCUCAUCACUUCCAUUUUCAUUCUUCCACCAAAGAGUUUUAGAGAUAAAGGAAGUGAUCUAGAGGGAGAGGGAAAGGUGAAGAAGAAGACAAGCGUAGGAAACAUCACUAAGUAAUUUAGUAUUUAUUUUUAAACAUUCUAAGGAGCAUUUGUAAAAUAAAAUUAAAAGUUAAAAUUAAAAAUUGUAUGAUUAAAUUUUAUGCUUAAACGAAGCAAUUUCGUGUAUUAAUGCACGUUUUAUGAAUGUAUAUGACCUUAUUAUUUGCAUGUGUAAUUUAAAUGGUUUAAUGCUUAAGAUAAAUAUUGAUAUAUGAUGCAAUUGAUAGUGGAAAAAUAAUUAAGUGUCAUGUAUAGAUAUGGGAAAAAUGUAUUGGUAUUGACAUGCAUGAUUCAUAAAGUGUUUCGUUAGGUUUUUUUUUUAUCUCUAUAGGGUUUCUGUUUCUCCUCCAUCUAGUUUGAAAAGACGUGAAAGGACCGCUCUCUGUGGAUGGUAACGUACCAUUUGACGAGAGUGGUGACGCGAUAUAAUUGUAGGGGUCACCUUUGGUGAAGUACGGCCGUGGCCAUAGUUAACAUGUAGGACUACUAUGAUUGGCACGGCUAUA
rnacentral:lncRNA from 1 species